UACGUAGGGUGCAAGCGUUAAUCGGAAUUACUGGGCGUAAAGCGUGCGCAGGCGGUUUUGUAAGUCAGAUGUGAAAUCCCCGGGCUUAACCUGGGAACUGCGUUUGAAACUACAAGGCUAGAGUGUGGCAGAGGGGGGUGGAAUUCCACGUGUAGCAGUGAGAUGCGUAGAGAUGUGGAGGAACACCGAUGGCGAAGGCAGCCCCCUGGGUUAACACUGACGCUCAUGCACGAAAGCGUGGGGAGCAAACAGG
rnacentral:rRNA from 1 species